UCCGCAGCGACAGCGACCUCUGACGAAGCCGUAGACGGGGAAUUGAAGAGAGGGCGCCACCACGAGCCGUUUCCUUAAUUGUCCUUUCAUCACGUCGGGGAGGCGAUGAUAACUUAUAAUGCGAGUGGGACCCCCGGACCCCCCCGACUCCCGGAAAGACCCUGCGUUUGUGUUUUGUCUACAGCCGCUCCAACCUCUCCUUGUUUGUGUGCUCGUGCUACCACGUGUUUCGACUGAGCGGUGGGUUUAAUCCAGGACCUCUGAGACCAGAACCGUGACGAUGGAGGGGGAUCUCUUCGCUUGGCUCUCAGCGAGGUCACACCAGAAAGGAUGUCUUCUCUUCUCCUCACAUGGAAAUGUGGGCGGUGCCGUUAAAGUAAAGCUACUUUUAGAAUUUGUGCUUUCGUAUGAUUUUUUUUUAUGUCAUGACCGCCUGGCGAGCUGCGCUCAGCGGGCCGCAUUCUCUCCUUUGAGAAACAGCCAAUCACGGAGUUCUGUGCAAAA
ensembl:lncRNA